rnacentral:rRNA from 1 species
AUUGAACGCUGGCGGCAGGCCUAACACAUGCAAGUCGAGCGAGCGGCGGACGGGUGAGUAAUGUCUGGGAAACUGCCUGAUGGAGGGGGAUAACUACUGGAAACGGUAGCUAAUACCGCAUCCCAUCCGAAUUGCCCAGAUGGGCUGAGCUAGUAGGUGUGGUAAUGGCUCACCUAGGCGACGAUCCCUAGCUGGUCUGAGAGGAUGACCAGCCACACUGGAACUGAGACACGGUCCAGACUCCUCAGGGAGGCAGCAGUGGGGAAUAUGGCACAAUGGGCGCAAGCAUGAUGCAGCCAGGCCGCGUGGGUGAAGAAGGCCUUCGGGUUGUAAAGCACUUUCAGCGGGGAGGCGUUACCCGCAGAAGAAGAACCGGCUAACUCCGUGAGAGCAGCGGAGGUAAUUC